rnacentral:rRNA from 1 species
UACGGAAGGCAGCAGUGGGGAAUAUUGCACAAUGGGCGAAAGCCUGAUGCAGCUAUGCCGCGUGUAUGAAGAAGGCCUUAGGGUUGUAAAGUACUUUCAUCGGGGAGGAAAAACAAAACUAAUAAUUUUAUUUCUUGACGUUACCCGAAAAAGAAGCACCGGCUAACUCCGUGCCAGCAGCCGCGGUAAUACGGAGGGUGCUAGCGUUAAUCAGAAUUACUGGGCGUAAAGAGCACGUAGGUGGUUUUUUAAGUCAGAUGUGAAUCCCUGGGCUUAACCUAGGAACUGCAUUUUGAAACUGAAAUACUAGAGUAUCGUAGAGGGAGGUAGAAUUCUAGGUGUAGCGGUGAAAUGCGUAGAUAUCUGGAGGAAUACCUGUGGCGAAAGCGGCCUCCUAAACGAAUACUGACACUGAGGUGCGAAAGCGUGGGGAGCGAAACAGGGAUUAGAUACC